UCCAACAUACCCUACCUAACGGAAGAUCGGGAUCAACACCCCUAUUAGCUGGUAUCAGAUUCACAGGUUUCUCGAUAGGUAAUUCUUGUUAUCUUCCUUUUAUUGUCCUAGAGUCCACUAGCCGACAAACACAACAAAAAAUCCCAUCCUACAGCCCCUUUGUGCCUUUCCGAUUUUAAUUUCAGUGUUGCUUUAUUGAAUUUGUGUCCGUAGUUGAGUCUUUGUUGCUGGUUUAGAUUGUGUCCAAGUCUGGUUGUGUUUCCCCUUGUGCCGCCACCCAUAUCACAUCGCUGCCAACCCUAGCCGCCGCAUUUGUGCCACCGUAAAACCCUGAUUUCAGGGCAAAUCUUGAAACGGCCAUAACUUUCCGCUCGGUGGUCGAAACAGGGCAAAAAAAUUUUCACGGACAUCUACAAAAAAAUUUCCUACGUGGUUCUCCCGGAAAGCCAGGUUCGGCGAAAUCAGAUUUUCGCAAUUCCCUUUGCAAGAUUGUGUUUCUGAGGUUCGAAGUUGUUUCUUCUCAUUUCUAGUAUCUUCAUGAAUUUUUCUAGCUCAUAUAUGUUAUCCCCAUAAGUUGAAACUUGGUGUGCUUUGUUCUUAGGUGCUCCUGGUUCAAAAAAAAUAUCAAAAAAUAUUCAAAACACAAAAAAAGAAAAAAAAGAGACAAAAAAAUUUUAGAGAGGAGCACCUGAGCACCUGAGACUUGGUACACCCUGAGCAGAGCUGUGAGAUCCUAUCCUUUGACUUGCCUCAUUAUGGUUUACCCUGCUUGCUUGUUGUUCUACAACUUCUACUAGGUGCACAUUUAGGCCAGCAACUAUGACGAG
rnacentral:lncRNA from 1 species